rnacentral:rRNA from 1 species
GGGAGCCCUAGCACAGGUGCUGCAUGGCCGUCGUCAGCUCGCGCCGUGAGGUGUUGGGUUAAGUCCCGCAACGAGCGCAACCCCCGCCGUUAGUUGCCAGCGGUUCGGCCGGGCACUCUAACGGGACUGCCCGCGAAAGCGGGAGGAAGAGGGACGACGUCUGGUCAGCAUGGCCCUUACGGCCUGGGCGACACACGUGCUACAAUGCCCACUACAAAGCGAUGCCACCCGGCAACGGGGAGCUAAUCGCAAAAAGGUGGGCCCAGUUCGGAUUGGGGUCUGCAACCCGACCCCAUGAAGCCGGAAUCGCUAGUAAUCGCGGAUCAGCCAUGCCGCGGUGAAUACGUUCCCGGGCCUU